AGAGUUUGAUCCUGGCUCAGGAUGAACGCUGGCGGCACGCAUAACACAUGCAAGUCGAGCGGAGGCGGAGAGGCGCAAGCAAGGAAGCCUUAGCGGCGGACGGGUGAGUAACGCGUGGGUAACCUGGCCUGUACAGGGGGAUAACACAUAGAAAUGUGUGCUAAAACCGCAUAAGCCUACGGUAUCGCAUGAUAAAGUAGGAAAAACUGAGGUGGUACAGGAUGGGCCCGCGUCUGAUUAGCUAGUUGGGGAGGUAAAGGCCCACCAAGGCGACGAUCAGUAGCCGGUCUGAGAGGAUGGACGGCCACAUUGGGACUGAGACACGGCCCAAACUCCUACGGGAGGCAGCAGUGGGGAAUAUUGCACAAUGGGGGGAACCCUGAUGCAGCGAUGCCGCGUGAAGGAAGAAGGUUUUCGGAUUGUAAACUUCUAUCAGCAAGGAAGAAAGAGGACAGUACUUGAAUAAGAAGCCCCGGCUAACUACGUGCCAGCAGCCGCGGUAAUACGUAGGGGGCAAGCGUUAUCCGGAAUUACUGGGUGUAAAGGGUGCGUAGGCGGUAGCGCAAGUUCGGUGUGAAAACCAUGGGCUUAACCCAGGGCAUGCAUCGAAAACUACGAUACUAGAGUGCAGGAGAGGAAAGCGGAAUUCCUAGUGUAGCGGUGAAAUGCGUAGAUAUUAGGAAGAACACCAGUGGCGAAAGCGGCUUUCUGGACUGCAACUGACGCUGAGGCACGAAAGCGUGGGGAGUAAACAGGAUUAGAUACCCUGGUAGUCCACGCUGUAAACGAUGAAUGCUAGG
rnacentral:rRNA from 1 species